rnacentral:rRNA from 1 species
AUUGAACGCUGGCGGCAUGCCUUACACAUGCAAGUCGAACGGUAACGCGGGGCAACCUGGCGACGAGUGGCGAACGGGUGAGUAAUGCAUCGGAACGUGCCUGGUAGUGGGGGAUAACUGCUCGAAAGAGCAGCUAAUACCGCAUACGACCUGAGGGUGAAAGGGGGGGAUCGCAAGACCUCUCGCUAUCAGAGCGGCCGAUGUCGGAUUAGCUAGUUGGUGGGGUAAAGGCCCACCAAGGCGACGAUCCGUAGCUGGUCUGAGAGGACGACCAGCCACACCGGGAAUGAGACACGGCCCAGACUCCUACGGGAGGCAGCAGUGGGGAAUUUUGGACAAUGGACGCAAGUCUGAUCCAGCCAUGCCGCGUGCGGGAAGAAGGCCUUCGGGUUGUAAACCGCUUUUGUCAGGGAAGAAAUCUUCUGGGUUAAUACCUCGGGAGGAUGACGGUACCUGAAGAAUAAGCACCGGCUAACUACGUGCCAGCAGCCGCCGUAA